rnacentral:lncRNA from 1 species
AAAAAUCAAUCGGGAGAAGGGAAGCCACCUGCUGCAGCCUGGAGGCUGGAGCCUGCGGCACUGCGACUCGCCUCGCCGCGCUACAGUUGGUGGUGGCGACAGAGACUGCAGUGUCGCGGAAGCGGUAGGAGGGCCACCCACAGCGGGAGCUGCUCCUGUCCGGCUAGACGACGAGAAAGGGGAGCCAUCUGCGGCACGUUGGAAGCUGGGGCCUGUGACAUCGCACCUCGCCUGGCUGCGGUUGGUGGCGGAGAAGGAGACUGCUGCGCAGCUGGAGUGUGAAACAGAGGUCUGAAGUCUAAGUUCGCGAGCAUGGAGCUGCCGACGGUGGCAUGGGUGUCUUUGGUCGCUAGAGGCUGAAGCGCAGGCCAAGCAGUGGAGCGAACGCGAGAUCCAACCCGAAACCUCCGCAGGCUGUUGGGACGGCCAGGUUCUGCCGCGAAGACCCUUGUGAAACGUGAAAAUCACAAGCUGAAAUAGAGGCACGACCAGAGAAAAGAGUGAUGCCCAUUUGUGUUUGUGUGUGUGUGUGUGUGUGUGUGUG